rnacentral:rRNA from 1 species
AUUGAACGCUGGCGGCAGGCCUAACACAUGCAAGUCGAGCGAGCGGCGGACGGGUGAGUAAUAUAUAGCAAACUGCCCGAUUGAGGGGGGACAAUACUUGAAAAUGUCUGUAAUACCGCAUUCCCUCAGAUGAGACCAGAGAGGAUUAUCUAGUCGGUGGGGUAACGGCUCACCCAGGCGACGAGCCCUAGCUGGUCUGAGAGGAGGACCAAGCACACGGGAACGGGGACACGGCGCCAACUCCUACGUGAGGCACGAGUGGGGAAUCUUGGAGAAUGGGCGCAAGCCUGAUGCAGCCAUGCGGCGUGUGUGAAGAAGGCCUUCGGGGUGUAAAGCACUUGUAGCGGGGAGGCGUUACCCGCAGAAGAAGCACCGGCUAACUCCGUGCCAGCAGCCGCGGUAAUAC